CCUACGGGGGGCAGCAGUGGGGAAUAUUGGACAAUGGGGGGAACCCUGAUCCAGCGACGCCGCGUGAGUGAAGAAGUAUUUCGGUAUGUAAAGCUCUAUCAGCAGGGAAGAAAAUGACGGUACCUGACUAAGAAGCCCCGGCUAACUACGUGCCAGCAGCCGCGGUAAUACGUAGGGGGCAAGCGUUAUCCGGAUUUAUUGGGUUUAAAGGGUGCGUAGGCGGACUGUUAAGUCAGCGGUAAAAGCCCGGGGCUAAACCCCGGCGAGCCGUUGAAACUGGCUGUCUUGAGAUGUCGAGAGGUAUGCGGAAUGCGCGGUGUAGCGGUGAAAUGCUUAGAUAUUGCGCAGAACUCCGAUUGCGAAGGCAGCAUACGGGCGGCGAUCUGACGCUGAGGCACGAAAGCGUGGGUAUCGAACAGGAUUAGAUACCCCUGUAGUC
rnacentral:rRNA from 1 species